rnacentral:rRNA from 1 species
UACGGGAGGCAGCAGUGGGGAAUCUUGCACAAUGGAGGAAACUCUGAUGCAGCGAUGCCGCGUGAGUGAAGAAGGCCUUUGGGUUGUAAAGCUCUUUCGUCGGGGAAGAAA